GACGAACGCUGGCGGCGCGCCUAACACAUGCAAGUCGAACGAGCGAGCGAGAGCUUGCUUUCUCGAGCGAGUGGCGAACGGGUGAGUAACGCGUGAGGAACCUGCCUCAAAGAGGGGGACAACAGUUGGAAACUACUGCUAAUACCGCAUAAGCCCACGGCCCGGCAUCGAGCAGGGGGAAAAGGAGCAAUCCGCUUUGAGAUGGCCUCGCGUCCGAUUAGCUAGUUGGUGGGGUAACGGCCCACCAAGGCGACGAUCGGUAGCCGGGCUGAGAGGUGGAACGGCCACAUUGGGGAUGAGACACAGACCAGAAUCCGACGGGAGGGAGGAGUGGGGAAUAUUGCACGAUGGGGGAAGCCGUGAUGCAGCGACGCGGCGGGGAGGAGGAAGGUCGUCGGAUUGUGAACUCGUGUUGUUGGGGAAGAUAAUGACGGUACCCAACAAGGAAGUGACGGCUAACUACGUG
rnacentral:rRNA from 1 species